rnacentral:rRNA from 1 species
GAUGAACGCUAGCGGCAGGCCUAACACAUGCAAGUCGAGGGGCAGCACAGGAAAGUAGUAAUACUUUUGGGUGGCGACCGGCGGACGGGUGCGUAAAGCGUAUACAACCUGCCUUCUACUGGGGGAUAAUUCGGAGAAAUCUGGUCUAAUACCCCAUAACAACCGAUGAUGCAUCUCAUUGGUUUAAAAGCUCCGGCGGUAGAAGACGGGUAUGCGUUACGUUAGAUAGUUGGUGGGGUAACGGCUCACCAAGUCGACGAUGUCUAGGGGGACUGACAGGUUAACCCCCCACACUGGUACUGAGGCACGGACCAGACUCCUACGGGAGGCAGCAGUGAGGAAUAUUGGUCAAAGGACGCAAGUCUGAACCAGCCAUGCCGCGUGCAGGAAGACGGCUCUAUGAGUUGUAAACUGCUUUUGAACGAGGGUAAACCCAGGGACGUGUCCUUGGUUGAAAGUAACGUACGAAUAAGGAUCGGCUAACUCCGUGCCAGCAGCCGCAGUAA